UGCAGUCGAGCGAUGAAGCACCUUCGGGUGUGAAUUAGCGGCGAACGGGUGAGGAACACGUGAAGAAUCUGCCUUCAACUCUGGGAUAACUCCGGGAAACCGGGGCUAAUACCGGAUAUGAGCCUUGAUCGCAUGAUCGGGGCUGGAAAGUUUUUCGGUUGAAGAUGACUUCGCGGCCUAUCAGCUUGUUGGUGAGGUAAUGGCUCACCAAGGCGACGACGGGUAGCCGGCCUGAGAGGGCGACCGGCCACACUGGGACUGAGACACGGCCCAGACUCCUACGGGAGGCAGCAGUGGGGAAUAUUGGGCAAUAGAAGAAACUCUGACCCAGCGACGCCGCGUGAGGGAUGAAGGCCUUCGGGUUGUAAACCUCUUUCAGUAGGGAAGAAGCGAAAGUGACGGUACCUACAGAAGAAGCACCGGCUAACUAUGUGCCAGCAGCCGCGGUAAUACAUAGGGUGCAAGCGUUGUCCGGAAUUAUUGGGCGUAAAGAGCUCGUAGGUGGUUCGAUACGUCGGAUGUGAAAAUCAGGGGCUCAACCCCUGACCUGCAUCCGAUACGGUCGAGCUAGAGUUUGGUAGGGGAGACUGGAAUUCCUGGUGUAGCGGUGGAAUGCGCAGAUAUCAGGAGGAACACCGAUGGCGAAGGCAGGUCUCUGGGCCAAUACUGACACUGAGGAGCGAAAGCGUGGGGAGCGAACAGGAUUAGAUACCCUGGUAGUCCACGCCGUAAACGGUGGGCGCUAGUUGUGCGAACCUUCCACGGUUUGUGCGACGCAGCUAACGC
rnacentral:rRNA from 1 species